rnacentral:rRNA from 1 species
CCUGAGUGUUGGGUUUUUCCCGCACGAGCGCAAACCCCUAUGUUUAGUUGCCAGCAAGUAAUGUUGGGGACUCUAGACAGACUGCCUGCGCAAGCAGAGAGGAAGGAGGGGACGACGUCAAGUCAUCAUGGCCCUUACGCCCAGGGCGACACACGUGCUACAAUGGCGCAUACAGCGGGUCGCGAGCCGGUAACGGUCAGCCAACCUCUAAAAGUGCGUCUCAGUUCGGAUUGAGGUCUGCAACUCGACCUCAUGAAGCUGGAAUCGCUAGUAAUCGCGCAUCAGCCAUGGCGCGGUGAAUACGUUCCCGGACCUU